rnacentral:tRNA from 1 species
UCCUCACUGGUUGAGCGGUAAAGAAUCUGCUUGCAAUGCAGGAGAUCCAGGUUCAAUCCCUGAGUCAGGAA